rnacentral:rRNA from 1 species
UACGUAGGGGGCAAGCGUUGUCCGGAUUUAUUGGGCGUAAAGAGCGUGUAGGCGGCUAGGUAGGUCCGUUGUGAAAACUCGAGGCUCAACCUCGAGACGCCGGUGGAAACCAUCUAGCUAGAGUCCGGAAGAGGAGAGUGGAAUUCCUGGUGUAGCGGUGAAAUGCGCAGAUAUCAGGAGGAACACCCGUAGCGAAGGCGGCACACUGGGCCGGUACUGACGCUGAGGAGCGAAAGCGUGGGGAGCAAACAGG